CAAGACUUCUGGUCUCUCGUCCCUCCUAAAACUCCAGCAGAGUCACUUUGGGUCAUUCAGGAAGAAAACUGGGAUGUGAAUAAACAAUGUGCACAAAUUAGGCUGCCGGAUGAAAGCGAGGGGAGGCAGCCCUCAAGGGAAAGAAGAGAUGGAGAAAGAUAUUUUUAUCAUUCCAUCGUUUGUUCCUCUCAUUUAAAGAGGGUCACAUUCUUCUCAAGAAAGCGCACCAGACUGCACAUACAGCAUGGCACCGCUCACAUUCACAGACAUUUGACAUCCUGCAGGAAGCUGAGAUCAGCAAACCACAGUGAUGCCCAUUCUGCUGCAAAGAAAACAACUUCUUAACUUUGCAAAACAGCUCGUAUCCUGGGAUCGCCUUUGGUAGUGUUAAUUGUUGGCUACAUUUGAUCACCGACCUUGAAAAAAAAAAAGCUUUUGUUUGAGAUGUCAAAGCGACAUCAAAUCAAAGGAGCGAAGUGUAUACAGUGACGAGGUGACAUAAAUGUUGUGUUUUCACAGGAGAAUGGUUUUUUCUCUUGUAACUCUCAAAAUGAGACAUGCCACUGAGCAAGUGUGUGCUACUCACAUCAGAUUAAAGCAAGAAUACACAAUCAACGGUAAUCAAUAAAAAGCAAAAUGAUGUAGGUGUUUUUUUAAGCAUUGCACUAUAUGCUCUGUGAAUCUAUCAUGGUCUGUUAAGUUACUGCUGAAUCUGUUAAAUCUUAUUAGAGUUUAAAAUUAUGCAUUGCUAAAGGUGUGCAAAGGGCCCUGGCUGCACUGGAGCAUUUUAGACCAUUUUUUAAUGCAGCUACGUUUCAAUAAGGCUUGCUUUAAGUGUUCUAACCAUCUUUGUGCCUGUGCUCAUUUUUUGAUGUAUUAAUUUAUUUUUAUGUCAGCAAGAAUUAGAUACGAUCUUUGGGAUCCAGCCAGUGCAUCUAUAGUGGGUGGAUUUAACUAUCUAUUGCUAACCGAAGUCGGUAUAAUAUUAGUUCAUAACUUAGUCCAAAUUGGUCACUCUUGGUUUCAAAAAACAACAUGAUUGUUUACAUCAUCAUAAAUGUGCCAAAUUCAAGUGUUGGUCUGCCACAUAAUCCCAUAUACUACAUGGUUGCCAUGUAUAUGAGAUAAAAUAGCAAACACUGUUUGGGCCACACUGUUUGUUUGAGCUGCUCAGUCAUGGAAACCCAUGCUUUGAAACUCUUGGUGCACAGUGUUUGUGCUGAUGUUCAUGUCAGAGGAGCUUUGGAGCUCUGCAGUUAUUGAAUCAUUGGAGUGCUGCUGACUUUUAUGCACUAUGUAUCUCAGUGCCACUUUGUGGCUGAGGUUAU